UACACUUCGACAUCUUCGAGU
rnacentral:piRNA from 1 species